rnacentral:rRNA from 1 species
AUUGAACGCUGGCGGCAUGCCUUACACAUGCAAGUCGAACGGUAACAGGUCUUCGGAUGCUGACGAGUGGCGCACGGGUGAGUAAUACAUCGGAACGUGCCCGAUCGUGGGGGAUAACGGAGCGAAAGCUUUGCUAAUACCGCAUACGAUCUACGGAUGAAAGCAGGGGACCGCAAGGCCUUGCGCGGACGGAGCGGCCGAUGGCAGAUUAGGUAGUUGGUGGGAUAAAAGCUUACCAAGCCGACGAUCUGUAGCUGGUCUGAGAGGACGACCAGCCACACUGGGACUGAGACACGGCCCAGACUCCUACGGGAGGCAGCAGUGGGGAAUUUUGGACAAUGGGCGAAAGCCUGAUCCAGCCAUGCCGCGUGCAGGAUGAAGGCCUUCGGGUUGUAAACUGCUUUUGUACGGAACGAAAAGACUCUUUCAAAUAAAGAGGGUCCAUGACGGUACCGUAAGAAUAAGCACCGGCUAACUACGUG